UACGUAGGGACCGAGCGUUGUCCGGAAUCAUUGGGCGUAAAGAGCGUGUAGGCGGCUUGUUAAGUCUUGCGUGAAAUCUCGGGGCUCAACCCCGAGCGGUCGUGAGAAACUGGCAGGCUAGAGUGCGGGAGAGGAGAGUGGAAUUCCUGGUGUAGCGGUGAAAUGCGCAGAUAUCAGGAAGAACACCCGUGGCGAAGGCGGCUCUCUGGGACGGUACUGACGCUGAGACGCGAAAGCGUGGGGAGCGAACAGG
rnacentral:rRNA from 1 species